AUGGAAGACGCCGUCGUGGGGGACGACGCCGAGCCCGGGGGCACAAGGCUCACCGCCAGCUUCGAGGACUGGCCAGAUGAUUUCGAAACCGAAGUCGCCCCGCGUUGCCAGCCGGCGGCCGACCAUCAAGACAUUGGCUCGUCCAUCGCGCCGGCUGCCUGCGGCGGUGCACAGAAGCGCCGGGCCGCUUCAAGCCUCUUCGGAAGUCGGCCGAAGAAGUCCAAAGCCUCCACCGCGGCAACCAAGCGAGACGAGGCGGCUGCGAAAGCGGCCCGCUUCCGCAAGGCAGUGAAGCAGCCUCAGGCGGUCUCAGCGUAA
rnacentral:rRNA from 1 species